GGAGAGAUGGCAGAGUUGGUCGAUUGCGCCUGACUCGAAAUCAGGUGUACCCGUAAGGGUACCGGGGGUUCGAAUCCCUCUCUCUCCG
rnacentral:tRNA from 1 species